GCGUGAUGAAUGAUGGGUGUGAUGCAAUGCAACUCAACAUUCUCGUGCAAAUAAACGAAUCUUGGUCACUUGAUUUUUACACUGGACGACAUGACAUAAUAUUUCAACAUUAAAAGGGUUCACCUUUUUUGACAAGCUCAAAAAUUUAGAUCACGAGGAGGGACAAGUGUGGAGAAUGUAAGUAUGUACCUAAAUUGGUACAUAACAUUUCACUUGUCCCCUGAUAAAUUCUCGACAACCCUACGUCUUAAAAAUAAUAAUUUAUAUAAACUGAUUUUUUCAUUGAGACCUGAGACAGAUUUCUUGAUGUAGAAUUGGCAGUACGACUUCUUAAAUGGGCUUAAGUGGAUGGAGGAUAUGAAUUGAUUAAUGAAAUUAUGUACCUACAUACGUAAUCAUUUGAUGAAUUCUAUAAUGGGAUUAUUUAGAAAAAUGUAAAGAGAGCAGUAAAUGUGUCAAGUGCGCAUCGAGGUUAAAUCGAUUUUAAAUCCUAACGAUUUCUGCUAAUUGCUUUUCAAAUCCUGGUUCAAUUCACACUUCUAAGAAUAACAAGGAUGGUCGAACAUUUGUUACGUAAUUAACCCGGCGGUUUAAGUAGAAACUAAUUACUCUCAACCAUUUAGUUUAAAUGACACCGUAAACUCAAGUAAUAUAAAAGAAAUGCACAUCAGAGGUGAAAUUCACUCUCAACUUAAUAGAAAUUCCGACGGAAAAGAACAUAUUAAUCUUUGGCCAUUUGAGCUGAGAAAAAUGUCGGCAACUCGUAACUUUAUGCUCGUGUGCAUCAUGUUGGCUCUCGUUCUUGUGAGCAUGAACGUUGUUGGUGCUUUUGAUUCUGGAGAACAUGGGGACUGCACCUUGCGUUGUGCGGACGGUCUCAUGGCUGACUUCCAUGCAUGUACAUGUGUCCCUGAACAUCACAUGCAUCACCACUGAAAUCCAUACAUAUUCGUCCAUAUCGUUUAUAUUUUUAACAAUGCAGAAAAACUAAUUUAAAUAAAUGAUCAUCCUGAAUACAUCAAUUCUGUUCAAGUACCUAUUUAUUUAUUACAGUCUCUAACCCAAAAUCAAGGGUAGGUCUAAAUUAAAAAGUAACAAUCAACCAUUCUUACACAUAAUAGUUAAAGUUGGAUCGAUGGAAAA